rnacentral:rRNA from 1 species
UACGUAGGGACCAAGCGUUGUUCGGAUUUACUGGGCGUAAAGGGCGCGUAGGCGGCCAUUCAAGUCAUCUGUGAAAUCUCCGGGCUUAACCCGGAACGGUCAGAUGAUACUGCUUUGCUAGAGUGCGGAAGGGGCAAUCGGAAUUCUUGGUGUAGCGGUGAAAUGCGCAGAUAUCAGGAAGAACACCCGUGGCGAAAGCGGCUCUCUGGAACGGUACUGACGCUGAGACGCGAAAGCGUGGGGAGCGAACAGG